CGAGUCAUUGUAGCAAUACAAGGCGGACGGCUCAGUAACACGUAGCCAACCUCACCUACGGACGUGGAUAACCUCGGGAAACUGAGAAUAAACCACGAUAGAUCAUAGUGCCUGGAAUGGCCUAUGGUCCAAACAGUUUACUGCCAUGGGAUGGGACUGCGGCCUAUCAGCUUGUUGGUGAGGUAAUGGCCCACCAAGGCGAUUACAGGUACGGGCUCUGAGAGGAGAAGCCCGGAGAUGGGUACUGAGACACGGACCCAGGCCCUAUGGGGCGCAGCAGGCGAGAAACCUUAGCAAUGUGCGAAAGCACGACUGGGUCAGUCCGAGUGAUUCCUGAUAAAGGAGUCUUUUGCUUGUCCUAAAAGCACAGGGUGAAUAAGGGGGUGGGCAAGUGCUGGUGUCAGCCGCCGCGGUAAUACCAGCACCUCGAGUGGUCAGGACGUUUAUUGGGCCUAAAGCAUCCGUAGCCGGCUUUGCAAGUCUUCGGUUAAAUCCACCUGCUCAACAGAUGGGCUGCUGGAGAUACUACAACGCUAGGGAGUGGGAGAGGCAGACGGUAUUCAGUGGGUAGGGGUAAAAUCCUCUGAUCCAUUGAGGACCACCAGUGGCGAAGGCGGUCUGCCAGAACACGUUCGACGGUGAGGGAUGAAAGCUGGGGGAGCAAACCGGAUUAGAUACCCGGGUAGUCCCAGC
rnacentral:rRNA from 1 species